CCCCUCUAAGGAUAGCACUUGGAGAGUUUCCAGUAUUCUACCAGUCUCUGCUACAGGAGGAAGAGUCAAGCAGAUCCCUUUCCAUUCCUACCUUGAGCAGUGGCUAGAGAGUGGAAGGCAAUCUGCUACAAGU